AUUGAACGCUGGCGGCAUGCCUUACACAUGCAAGUCGAACGGCAGCGGGGGAGAAGCUUGCUUUUCCUGCCGGCGAGUGGCGAACGGGUGAGUAAUACAUCGGAACGUGCCCUGUAGUGGGGGAUAACUAGUCGAAAGAUUAGCUAAUACCGCAUACGACCUGAGGGUGAAAGUGGGGGACCGCAAGGCCUCAUGCUAUAGGAGCGGCCGAUGUCUGAUUAGCUAGUUGGUGGGGUAAAGGCCUACCAAGGCGACGAUCAGUAGCUGGUCUGAGAGGACGAUCAGCCAACCUGGGACUGAGACACGGCCCAGACUCCUACGGGAGGCAGCAGUGGGGAAUUUUGGACAAUGGGCGAAAGCCUGAUCCAGCAAUGCCGCGUGUGUGAAGAAGGCCUUCGGGUUGUAAAGCACUUUUGUCCGGAAAGAAAUGGCUCUGGUUAAUACCUGGGGUCGAUGAUGGUACCGGAAGAAUAAGGACCGGCUAACUACGUGCCAGCCGCCGCGGUAA
rnacentral:rRNA from 1 species